GAUGAACGCUGGCGGCGUGCCUAAUACAUGCAAGUCGAGCGGCAGCACGGUCUUCGGACUGGUGGCGAGCGGCGGACGGCUGAGUAACGCGUAGGAACGUACCCCAAAGUGAGGGAUAACUGCUCGAAAGAGUAGCUAAUACCGCAUGUGAGCUAAGGAUUAAAGCUUCGGCGCUUUGGGAACGGCCUGCGUCCGAUUAGCUAGUUGGUGAGGUAAAAGCUCACCAAGGCGACGAUCGGUAGCUGGUCUGAGAGGAUGAUCAGCCAGACUGGGACUGAGACACGGCCCAGACUCCUACGGGAGGCAGCAGUAGGGAAUUUUCCACAAUGGGCGAAAGCCUGAUGGAGCAACGCCGCGUGCAGGAUGAAUGCCUUAGGGUUGUAAACUGCUUUUAUAUGUGACGAAUAUGACGGUAGCAUAUGAAUAAGGAUCGGCUAACUCCGUGCCAGCAGCCGCAGUAA
rnacentral:rRNA from 1 species